UGAACUGGUCAUUCAUAGGUCGAACAAAAUUACCUGCCCAGUACUUAAUCUUGAAAAGUACAUGCGAGUUGCUUCCAUCAGUUUAGAUCACAGUGCAAAUUUUUUAUUCAGGCCGGUAACCCAUACCAAAGCAGGGUUAGUACAAGCUAAUCAACCGAAACAAACCCCUUAGUCAAACUAGAGCACAGGAAUCUAUCAUCGGUAGACUGCAGGAGUUCAUGGGAGACGCCAACAUUUCCUCGCACUCAUUCAGAUCAGGGGGGGCUACCAAAGCAGCCAAUGCCCAAGUGUCCGACCGCUGUUGGAAACGACAUGGCAGAUGGAAGUCUGAUACAGCCAAGGACGGUUACGUACAAGAUUCACUCAAC